rnacentral:lncRNA from 1 species
AAUACAAGUAGUUAACAACUACAAAGCUCACUUAAUAGAGCCUAAAAAACAACAUCAGAAUGGCACAUGCGGCAAAGCUAACACAUUGUCAUCUCCACCAGUGCGAUCUAUCUCAAAUGAACCACUCACACUCGCCUAAACUCGUCCCCUCGCAGCCACUCCAGAUCCCUACUCUGUUCGUUUGAAUAAAUUAAUCAUGAGAACCACUGAGAUUGUGCUAUCUUUUGAGCCUCAAAACUCAAAUCUUUUAACCAAAGCAGUAAGCAUUUUUAUGCAAAGACAGGGCACUGAAUUUACAAAAGAACAAAAAUAAUCCAAACUUUUAGUUCCACCGUCAAAUUGAAUCAGAUGAGCAAGUUUUACUUAAGGCUAAACACCCCCUGACCUCCACGCUCGCUAUGAGAGACAGAGGCCGCCCGACAGCUGACGACCCCGGUGAAGGAGGCGACCAUGGAGGAGGAGCUUGGCGGAGGAGGAUUUGGGCGGAGGACGAGGACGGCGACCA